rnacentral:tRNA from 1 species
GCCCAGUUAACUCAGUUGGUAGAGCAUGAGACUCUUAAUCUCAGGGUCAUGAGUUUGUGCCCCAUGUGGGGUG